UGGAACCACCUGAUCCCUUCCCGAACUCAGAAGUGAAACGAUGCAUCGCCGAUGGUAGUGUGGGGCUUCCCCAUGUGAGAGUAGGUCAUCGUCAAGC
rnacentral:rRNA from 2 species